rnacentral:rRNA from 1 species
UUAGGCGGAGAGUAGAAGUCGGGUCCCACCCGACCCGUCUUGAAACACGGACCAAGGAGUCUAACAUGUGCGCGAGUCGUCGAGUCUUUUUACGAAACUCGCGAGGCGCAAUGAAAGUAAAGUUCGGCCCCGAUGAGGGUGCCGCGAGGGGAGAUCCCGUCUCGAAUAGAGCGGGCGCAUCCCCAGGGCGUUCGAUGCCGCGAAUUGAUUCACUUCAGAGCCGGCCGAACGAACCCAGAGCGUACACGUUGGGACCCGAAAGAUGGUGACCUAUGCCUGACCAGGUUGAAGUCAGGGGAAACCCUGAUGGAGGACCGCAGCGAUUCUGACGUGCAAAUCGAUCGUCGGAGUUGGGUAUAGGGGCGAAAGACUAAUCGAACCAUCUAGUAGCUGGUUCCCCCCGAAGUUUCCCUCAGGAUAGCUGGUGCUCGCAAAGAAAACGAACGGAGUUUCAUCCGGUAAAGCGAAUGAUUAGAGGCCUUGGGGUCGAAACGACCUCAACCUAUUCUCAAACUUUCAAUGGGUGAGAAGCCCGGCCUUUCGAUCCUUGAUUGAGGCCGUCGGCAUUCGAAUCUGAGCGCCCAGUGGGCCAUUUUUGGUAAGCAGAACUGGCGCUGUGGGAUGAACCAAACGCCCGGUUAAGGCGCCUAAACGACGCACAUUUCGGAUCCCACGAAAAGGAGUUGGUUGCUAAAGACAGCAGGACGGUGGCCAUGGAGGUCGGAAUCCGCUCAGGAGUGUGUAACAACUCACCUGCCGAAGCAACUAGCCCUUAAAAUGGGAGGCGCUAUAGCGUCGUGCCUAUACCGGGCCGUCGGUCGGCAGAGUUCAUACUUCCCGGGACGAAGAGUCUCAUUACAAGGGAAGCUGAGGCCCCGACGAGUAGGGGGGUCGCGACGGUGAGCGUUGAAGGGUCUGGGCGCGAGCCUGCCCGGAGCCGCCGUCGGUGCAGAUCUUGGUGGUAGUAGCAAAUACUCCAGAGGGAUCCUGGAGGACUGACGCGGAGAAGGGUUUCAUGUGAACAGUGGUUGGACAUGAGUCAGUCGAUCCUAAGCCGCAGGAGAAAUCCGACCUAGUGACGGGCGUGAGUUUUU